UACGUAGGGGGCAAGCGUUGUCCGGAAUCACUGGGCGUAAAGGGCGCGUAGGCGGCCCUCUUAGUCGCGUGUGAAAGCCCCGGGCUCAACCUGGGAACGGCGCGCGAAACGGGAGGGCUGGAGUUCGGGAGAGGAGAGUGGAAUUCCCAGUGUAGAGGUGAAAUUCGUAGAUAUUGGGAAGAACACCGGUGGCGAAGGCGGCUCUCUGGACCGAGACUGACGCUGAGGCGCGAAAGCGUGGGGAGCAAACAGG
rnacentral:rRNA from 1 species